ACUCAAAUGAAUUGACGGGGACCCGCACAAGCGGUGGAUGAUGUGGAUUAAUUCGAUGCAACGCGAAAAACCUUACCUACUCUUGACAUGCUGGGAAUCCUGCUGAGAGGUAGGAGUGCCUGAAAGGGAGCCCAGACACAGGUGCUGCAUGGCUGUCGUCAGCUCGUGUCGUGAGAUGUUGGGUUAAGUCCCGCAACGAGCGCAACCCUUGUCCCUAGUUGCUACGCAAGAGCACUUUAGGGAGACUGCCGGUGACAAACCGGAGGAAGGUGGGGAUGACGUCAAGUCCUCAUGGCCCUUAUGAGUAGGGCUUCACACGUCAUACAAUGGUCGGUACAGAGGGUCGCCAACCCGCGAGGGGGAGCUAAUCCUAUAAAGCCGAUCGUAGUCCGGAUUGCAGUCUGCAACUCGACUGCAUGAAGUCGGAAUCGCUAGUAAUCGCGGAUCAGCAUGUCGCGGUGAAUACGUUCCCGGGUCUUGUACACACCGCCCGU
rnacentral:rRNA from 1 species